UGGUCUAUACAGAGGCUAUGGUUUAUACCUUUCAGAAGAACAUGGAUUUGAUUUACCCCUUCAUGUUUUCACUUGAUUAUGAACCCCUGGAUAUGUUACAUGCCUUUCUCCAAGUUAAAUUAAAAUCAGCUGUCUGUGGGGACGAAUGCAGUGAGUAACAACUGUUUCUGUACCAG